AAGGGCUUCCGGCCCCGGUAAAGUGGCGCACGGGUGAGUAACACGUGGGUAACCUUCCCUAGAGCGGGGGAUAACAUUCCGAAAGGAGUGCUAAUACCGCAUAAGACCACGUCUUCGAAAGAGGACGAGGUAAAAGCAGGCCUCUGUACACAAGCUUGCACUCUAGGACGGGCCCGCGGCCCAUCAGCUAGUUGGCAGGGUAACGGCCUACCAAGGCGAAGACGGGUAGCUGGUCUGAGAGGAUGAUCAGCCACACUGGAACUGAGACACGGUCCAGACUCCUACGGGAGGCAGCAGUGGGGAAUCUUGCGCAAUGGACGAAAGUCUGACGCAGCGACGCCGCGUGGGUGAUGAAGGCCUUCGGGUUGUAAAGCCCUGUGGGGAGAGACGAAUAAGUCGUAGCUAAUACCUCCGGCGAUGACGGUAUCUCCUUAGCAAGCACCGGCUAACUCUGUGCCA
rnacentral:rRNA from 1 species